UCCUUUUGAAGGCACCUUUCAAUGAAGGAAAACGUGCUGUGUGAGGACGUGGUGAUCAGCAGAUGACAUGGAGGACCUCUGCAGCGACCCUUGAACUGAAAAUCUUUUGCUCGUACUCCCCCUCACUCGGUGGCAGGCAGUGGUCGCUCAUUGCUGAUUGUGAGGGCCUGUGAAGCCUUCAAGUGGGAGUGUAAAAAAACGAAGCCUCUUGUUUUACACUAAAGAAGACAAGACUAACACGAACACGUACAAGUCUAUCGGUCACAAGCUACACAAUUGAGGAAUCUAACCUUGAGGGUUACGGCUUCUUACCGGAUUUACUUCAAAUCCCAAGACAAGGUUGGCAAUGCUCUUUCGGGGAGAGUUUAAUAAGAAACACUCUUUCUCAAACGCUACUGGUAAAGAGACCAGAGAAAGACAACGUGCAAGGAAGGCACCUGGUCAGACUCAAACCUAGUGAUGUUGAGAUUACAUGGCCAGCGUCUUAAACCCCUUCUGCCACGCCCCAGUCUUGUUUUUCUAAGGGCUGCAAAAAUUCCUUUCUGUCUUUCUGUGCUGGAGGUGGAUCCGAGAAGCAGCGGUGGCUUAUAACCAGUGCCACACGGCUACUUGAGAAGAGUGAUGACAAGAUUUACUGUAAUUGGAAAAUGGCUUUCGCUGGUGUUUCCUGAGGACCUGCCAGUGACUGCAGCCGGUAGAGUAUUUCCCUCUACAGAGACUGUGUUUGUGAGUUCACCAUGGAAACUGAUCUACCUGAAGUAUCUUGAAUUUGAUACCUCCCCUUGUUUGAUUUUUGGCUUUUGGUAAAGCUGCCUAACACAGACUGCGGCGUAGAAAAGAAGCGCAGGAAGUUCACAUGGAGAUUUGAGAGACAUAGUGAAGAGGAAGAUUCUUGGAUAAAGUCAAGACAAGUUUAUUUAUACAGCCAUUUAUCACAAAUCAUACACUUACUUCAAGGGGGUUUACAACAUGUACAGCAUAGGACACCUGCUGUCCUUUUGACCCUAGCUUCAGAUAAGUAAUAACUCCCCAAACAUAGUCCUGAAUGGGGGAAAAAAGGGAUGAGCAACUCAGGAAGGAAUCCCUCUCUUAGGACAUACAAACUGUCUUGGCUUCGAUAUUGUGUUUAGGUACAUUGACGUCCCAAAAUACACCCCCCACCUGUGUUUAUAAACCAUUAUCUGUAUUGCCUCCUGCAGACUAUAAGAGCAGAGGGGUGUCUUUGAACUGUCUUUAGAGAUCCCUCCUGGCCUGAGUUUCACAAGUUACACUCUCAGAUCCUCAGCCAGAACAUAUGGAAACCUAUUAUCCAAAAAUACCCAAUUGUGGAUAUUUUCAAAUGCCAUGAAAAUAAAAGUAAAUUGAAUAGCAGUAGAUAAAAGUAAAUUUUGUCUGAUUUAAAAAUCAGGAAAAAGUAGUAACGCCACACAAAAACUUUUCUCCACAUGAAGGGGGAUUCUUGACUACACAUCUCCACUGUACGUGUCAAGUUUGGAGUACAUGGAUGCAAGCCAGAAUCAGCAUGCCAGUAAAACAUGCAAGCAAAGCCAAACAGUAGAGUAAAGUAAAACAAAAUGACUUCUUUACACUCCUUUCUGCUCCCCUUUGGAGGCAUCCUGUUCUCAUACGUGCUGUUGAUACUGUAGAAUACACACAGAUACAUCUGCACAUUCCUCUCCCACACAAACUACACUGCACCUGUGAUGAGUUCACAUACAAACUGGCUUCUGACGUGACUCGGAGUCAAGGUAAUUUACAAGCUUUUUUUCCUGCAAAAAUACAGCACUUAUUUUGUUGAGUCUUUUGGUCUCUGGUAGAGGACAUUCUGGGCUUGUAAAUCACUCUACAAAUAUUAUAGUGUGUGUGUUAUGCUAUCAUCCAUUUAGAAAGUUCACUUUGCAGAUUGAAUUGAAUAAAUGAAAAUCAAAUGAGCAGUUAGACAACUAUCAUAAGCAGUGUUGUUAAUGGUUAGGGUGUAAACAUUUUUGGUUUAUUUGUUUAUUUUACUGUUUUUUGACUUCCUGUACAAUUGUGGUGACUU